CACACACGCCACGGCCAUUCAGCAGCUACUGCACCAGGGGCUAUGAGCAGUCCCGCUGCUGACCACUAGGAGGCGCUGCCCCAGCAGUAAAACCCCAAGCUCCCGGGUGAAAAUGAGGAAACGCAAGACACCGCAGUGGAAUAGCAGACUGCUCGCCCAGUGAAGGUGGACCUCACACAGCGCUCAGCCAAAGCCGCAGCGCUUCCGCCGGCGUUGCGAGGCUGGCAGCCGCUGCGGGGAAGUGAGGAAUUCUCUGGGAAUGAUGGAGCCGCUGCCAGAUGAGCCCGGAGGCCGGCGUAGUCUAUUGCCUUGCCUGCCCACCCUGUUAUUCCAAAGUUUCCUCUACAGGCAGCAACCAAUGAAGCUCAUCUCCUGUCCAGGGAAAACAAAGCCAAGCCACAUUCCCAGAGUUCAAUUUGCUGUUAGAUCGGCGGUCUGUGAAUUGGGGUUUCAGCCAUGUCUGUUGACUGUGGAGAGGUGAUUGGAGGGUUAUCUGCACAAGCAGGAGUGAAAAAUAAAGGAUGUCAGCAAAUAAAAUGUUUGAUGUUCACCCUGUAUACUGUUCAUCAGAUACAGUUUUCUGGCAGAGAUCACUUUUUAAUACAGAAACCACAAGUUAUUAUUUCAGCACUUAAUUUCUUCAAC